CAGACUCACUCUCUCCUCUCCUCAUCUCCAUCUCCAUCUCCAUCUCCAUCUCCAUCUCCAUCUCGAUCUGCUCAGCUGAGCUCUUUAUUCUCUUCUCAAUCUCUAUCAUCAGUAGAACUCUAUCAUCAGUACCGUGCUCUUACUAACAAUACCGUGUUCUUACUAUUGUUAGGUUUUGAUUUUUUUUCUGAUUCAUCUUGUUUGUUUGAAGUGACGAAGAAAACCUAAACCCAGAACACGGUAUCUCUUCAAACAUCAUCAUAAAUGGAUGACGAUGAUCAAGAUGAUUACGGUGAUAUUGGGAUGAACCAGUUGAGGACGUUAUGGAAGGUGGUGAAGUGGAUGUUGAAAAUAACAAUGAAGAUGAUGCUUCUGAUGGUAGAAGGUGUAGAGAAAAGGGGUUUCGAUCAGAUUCAGGCACUGAGAUGAACAAAGAAGGUUUGGGAAAUGGAAUUGAAUCUGCUGUGAUUGAUAGAGAUAGUCAGGGAGAACUGAAAUGGGCCUGGUGGUACAAGAGAUGCUAUGUGAGAUACAGGGAAUGUCUGUAUUAUGAUGCAGAGAAGAACCAAGCUGCUACUGUUAAUUCGAACAAGGAUCUGAAAAUGGUGAUACCGAGAAUGGGUUUGCUGGAAGAGACUGGGAACAAUGGUGGUGUUUCACUGCAGUUAGUUAGAGAUGGUGUUGCCGGAAUCUGUUUGUAUCAAGAUUACAAGUUCAGUUCCUAUAUGGCUUGAUUUUGGUGGAGUUCUUGAGGCUGAGUGCAAUGAGAAUCUGUUGAUCCAAGAGUUAUGGCAAGUGAUUUGAAGUUUGUUACUGCAUAUGGAUUUAAGGGUUUGCAGGAGAUGAAGUUAUUACAAGAAUCUGUUGGUGUGUUGAUGAAAUUAAUGAGUUGCUCAAUGAGCACAAUUCAACGACAGUGCAUCAAAUAUAUUGGUCCUAAAGAGAGGGAAGUCUAUGAAGUAAUCGUAGAAGAUAGAAAGCUCAUCUACAAACAAGGUGGAGAGUGUGUGGACACUGUUGAAGGUUUCAAAUGGAUUUUUUUCCUAAGCACAUCGAGAUCAUUGUAUGUUGGGAAGAAGGAAAAGGGACAGUUUCCGCGCUCGAGUUUUCUAUCCGGUGGUGCUACAACAACGGCUGGAAGAUUAGUGGUCAUGAUGGAGUUCUUGAGAUAUGCACAGUUGUUGCAUCUUUGCAUUUGCAGAAAUUUUCACAAUCUCUUUGUGCCAAGUGAUUUACAAUUUGCUUCCUUCUUGACUUUAUAUAGGAAAUUUGGCCAUAUAGCGGCCACUACCUCCCCACAUAAGAAAAUUUCAAAUAAUUCAUCAGCUUCCUUGAGGAACAUCAUGUGGAUCUCACCAAUGUUAAGAGAUGUGCAAAUGAUGAAGACUGCCCAUCAUCAUUCAGAGUUACCGACAGUGAAGUGAAUAGUAAGGCGGAAGUUACAGAGGGUUCAUCAUUCAAACUCACAGUUUCUAUUGGUUGUGUAUGAACGCUUUGGGGAUCAUUAUGUCUCAUAUUGUUGGAUGUAGGGAGUAGUGCAAAUUUGAAAUAUUUUCCCUCAGGUAUCUAGUGAAUGGAGAUAAGUGAACCUGAACUGUAGCCGUGUUUGUAAUUGUAGCCAAGAGGAAGUGAAAAUCAAAUUGAGGAAGGGAUUAAUCAAGAAUCCCAAUGAACAAAAAGUCAGGGAAAACCCAAAAUACACCAAGGAUCAAUCCUAAAUCUAGGUCACAAACAUUUUUCAUGUUCACAAGUAUAGGAUGAAAGUAUAUGUGUAUGCUGGCAAAAGUAUCAAGACUCAAGAGAUUUUACGUGGUUUGGUGCUAAAACCUACAUCCAUGAGGGUGAUUUCACUAUGUAUGAUGAUGAGUACAAGUUCACGGUGUAAUGCAAGCGGCGUUCAAGGUUCAAGGAUUCUUCAUUUGGCACUUUCACAAUGUGAAAUUACACUUUGCAAGUCAGGUGUUGUCAGGGAAAGUGUAGAUGAUACCGCUGGUGCUCCUCAGCAUGUAGCCUCACACCAACUAAGAGAUACUGGCGCAGUUGCAAGUGCUCGAGCUGCAAAAAUAUAUGGGCUCAACAUACUUGCAGAACGUAUCCAGGAUGACUGUGACAAUAUUACUCGCUUUUUGAUACUUGCGAGAGAACCAAUUUUACCAAAAAUGAUAGACCCUUUAAGACAAGCAUUGUGUUUACGCUAGAAGAAGGUACUGGAGGUGACCAACGGUAGAGUAGGUCCAAAAAAAUCUCAUGCGAAGGUAUGUUUUUGUCAGAAUGCUCCAUAUCAUUCAGUUUACCAUUACUUUGUAAACUAACAUUUGUUUUUGUUUUUUCUGUAUGUACACUGACGAGGAGGAUGAAGUACCCUCACUUGCAGACUGUCUUGCUGCAUCUAACCUUGAUUCUUCUCCAGAUAAAGAAACUGAGAAGGAUGCAGCAACACCAGCAAAGAAGAAAGCGGUACCCAAAAGAGCUUCUGCAUCCCAGAAAAAGACGAUCUCUGAGUUUAGUUCCGAUGAUGAGCAAAUACAAACCAUUUCAGAGGAGAAAGGAUCCAAUGGUGAGUUUGAGCCACCUGCGGCGCUAAAAGGUGGAAAGAAGCCAUCUGCGGUCUGGAGACAACAAGCUGCCUUUGGUGAGCAAACAGAAAUCACAAGUGGAUCUAUGAAACUUUUCUUAGAUGCUAAGGUUGAUUGAAUGAUGUUGUAUGUUAUGAGAUCAGAAAUUAAGGUUGGAGAACAAAGCAGCAGCCACUAGGUCCCUUAGCAGCUGCAAGAUUUGUAAGUUUAUGUAGUAUCUCCUUAUGGUAAUUUAAGUUAGAAGAACUUAGGAAUUUCGUAACUUUCCUUGAACUGAACUUAGGAACCAAGUAUGUUUAAGUAUGUUUCUAAUGUAUACACUAGUUUGUUGUGAUACUUGGAAUACAUUUGUAUCAAAUACUCAUACUUUUUGUUAACAUCAAUUGAAGAAUCCAUUUUUC